GAUUAACGCUGGCGGCGUGCAUGAGACAUGCAAGUCGAACGGGUGACUCGGGCUUGCUCGAGUCACUAGUGGCGAACGGCUGAGUAACACGUAGGUGACCUGCCCCGAAGUGGGGAAUAACUGCCCGAAAGGGUGGCUAAUACCGCAUGUGGUCGCACGUUCAUUCGUGCGAGUAAAGCCGCAAGGCGCUUCGGGAGGGGCCUGCGUCCGAUUAGCUCGUUGGUGGGGUAAUGGCUCACCAAGGCGACGAUCGGUAGGUGGUCUGAGAGGACGAUCACCCAGACUGGGACUGAGACACGGCCCAGACUCCUACGGGAGGCAGCAGGCGGGAAUUUUGCUCAAUGGGCGAAAGCCUGAAGCAGCAACGCCGCGUGAGGGAUGACGGCCUUCGGGUUGUAAACCUCUUUUCUCAGGGACGAUGAUGACGGUACCUGAGGAAUAAGCCACGGCAAACUACGUGCCAGCAGCCGCAGUAACAC
rnacentral:rRNA from 1 species